UGUACCUGGGUGAAAUGAUUUUAACAGGUAGGAAAAUGUCAUCCCUAAUGUCAACAGUUACCCUUGCACUCUAGUUUCCAAAGUUGUAUCAAAAGUCGAAGGAUAAUGCUAUUCACAUGCUGAUUUUUACUCCUCAACACACCCUUCUUAAUUUUCAACCGUCGAAUCAAUAAACUGUAAAAGAUCAAUUGUAAAAAAAUUAAUAAGGGUGUGUGAGGUAAGAAAAAAGUGUGAAUAGUACUAUACAUGUUGAAAUAGGGAUGAUUUGAAAUCAAGCACAAUCCCAUGCACGGUUACUCUAAGAAUUGCAUGAUAAUUAUUUUUGAGUGCCAGUAAACAAAUGAAAAGAAGCUCAUGCCUAUCCACCAUGAAUUGCAUGAUAAUUGUUUUUGAGUGCCAGUAAACAAAUGAAAAGAAGCUCAUGCCUAUCCACCAUGGUGUCAAUUCAAUCCCUAAUAAGUCUCUUUUCUUCAAACAACUAACUAUUAAACUCACUUUAAAAAAAAAAAAAAAAAAAAAAAAAAAACCCAUUGCACCUAAGUCGUAUUACUUUUGGGCUGAAAAAAAACAGCAUAUUAUUGUUAUUAUCAUAAAAGGCUGGAGCCCAAUAAGCUAAAACCCUGGCCCCACCUAAACCCUUCAGUUUUGCUUUCUCAUCUUUCCUUCAUCAGAGUCUCUGUUUCUGAAAAACCUGAAGAAUUAGAAAUGGUCAGAAGCAUCAAGAACCCUAAGAAAGCCAAAAGAAAGGCCACGGGCUCAAAGAAAGAAGAUGCGUCUUCUUCCUCUUCGGAACCGUCGAUGCCAGCGAAGGUAUGGCAACCGGGAGUGGACAAGCUGGAGGAGGGCCAAGAUUUUGGUGUAGUAUGCAUGUCGAGUGAGUGCAUGUAUACAUAGCAGAAUUACACCAAUUAAUCUGUGGGAGGAAGGAUAUAGAACAACUCAUCAGGUAAAGAAAAAGAAUCAUGAUUUGAAAGUUUGGAAGCCAUUACAUACUCAUUUCUUGCUGCUCUCUGUAAAAGAUGUUUUCAAGAGCUUCUUGGUAAUCUAAAUUUAUAGUUCCAUUUUUUUUUCAACGAUAUCCAAUAUGAUUAUGUAUUUUACUGCUCGAUAUAUUUCCUACUCAUGAUCAUUUCUCAGAGGCUGUCAAUACUGGGUUAUCUGCGGUUAUUGAGGGUUGUUUGGCUUGCGACGAACUCAAAUACAAUAGUAUUAGGAAUUAUUGGUUUAAAUCUCUGUAUGAAUUGGUUGUUUGUAGAACUAGAUCAUAAAAGCUUGUUUUAGCCCUACCCAUAGUUUAAUUGGUAUUUUGGAUGUGCAUGUAAAACCAAGCUGAAUAAUUUCUUACGAAUGGUAUUACUAUUUGAUUUGAUUAGAUUUCGUAAUAUUGGAAUUUAUGUUUUUUUUUAAUAUUUAACCUAUUGGGCACAAUAAGUAAAAGUUGUGUUAAUAUGGAUGGCAAAGUAAAUCUGACAACUUGUCAGAGCGGAGGCACAAAACCCUUCAUUUGUGCUGACAUUAUUGAGCGCCAAAAACUAGUAUUGUGCUCUCUAAUCAAUGGUAACGCCCAUAUAGAAACAUGGUUGCUUCAUUGUUAUCAUUGACCUAUGAGCACAUAUGUUGGUGCCUUUGGCAUUAAAGGGCACAUAUAAUUAUAAUUUAUUGUGUGCAGUGCCCAGUUUUGUUGUAGUGGGGACUGCUAAGAUGCGUUUGUUCCUGCGCUUUGCUUCUUCUCUCUCUCCCUUGCUCUAUCUUUUUGCACCGACAACCCAGACGCGGAACGAUGUCGACGCCACCCACUCCUCUUCGCCGAGGUGAUAGAACACUUCCUGGGUGGUGAAUCAAUUAGAAAAGAGAAAAUUUAUUUGAUUAUCGUGAUCGGCUGAGGGCUGGGGUCGACGGCGGCGGACCGAAGGCUAGGUUUGAAGACUGAGUUCGAAGAUGGCGGCCUAAAGGCUAAGGUCGACCAUGGCUGCACGAAGGCAACGAAGAUGCAUUUGUGGCGCCGUCAAUUGGAUUUGUGGAUUUGUUGUUGUGACGCCGUCGUCGUUCCAAUUUGUGGCACAAUACACUUUCUGGGCUUACAUUUCAGAGCCUCAAAUGGCGAUGGGCAAAAGGAUUCCAUACAAUAUUUUCCCCAAUUUUUUUUGGUGGAUUUGUGAGAAAUCUAUUAUUAUGUUUUAAUUCUGAAAAAUUGUUUGGUUUUGGUUUGAAUUGGGUGUUGGUAGAGAAAAGUGGAUUUGGUUAAUUUCAAUUUUCCUUCCUGUAAUUUGAGAUUUGAUUGUAGGUUGGUUAGUUUAUGAUGUCGUAGUGUUGAAUUUUGUUGUUGUGAUUGUUCAAAUACUGUUUUAUUUUCA